AGCGAACGCUGGCGGCAGGCUUAACACAUGCAAGUCGAACGGGUCCUUCGGGACUAGUGGCAGACGGGUGAGUAACGCGUGGGAACGUACCUUUCGGUUCGGAAUAAUUCAGGGAAACUUGGACUAAUACCGGAUACGCCCUUCGGGGGAAAGAUUUAUCGCCGAUAGAUCGGCCCGCGUCUGAUUAGCUAGUUGGUGAGGUAAUGGCUCACCAAGGCGACGAUCAGUAGCUGGUCUGAGAGGAUGAUCAGCCACAUUGGGACUGAGACACGGCCCAAACUCCUACGGGAGGCAGCAGUGGGGAAUAUUGGACAAUGGGCGCAAGCCUGAUCCAGCCAUGCCGCGUGAGUGAUGAAGGCCUUAGGGUUGUAAAGCUCUUUUGUCCGGGAAGAUAAUGACUGUACCGGAAGAAUAAGCCCCGGCUAACUUCGUGCCAGCCGCCGCCGUAAUAC
rnacentral:rRNA from 1 species